rnacentral:rRNA from 1 species
CAGCUUGUUGGUGGGGUAAUGGCCUACCAAGGCGACGACGGGUAGCCGGCCUGAGAGGGCGACCGGCCACACUGGGACUGAGACACGGCCCAGACUCCUACGGGAGGCAGCAGUGGGGAAUAUUGCACAAUGGGCGCAAGCCUGAUGCAGCGACGCCGCGUGAGGGAUGACGGCCUUCGGGUUGUAAACCUCUUUCAGCAGGGACGAAGCGAAAGUGGCGGUACCUGCAGAAGAAGCACCGGCCAACUACGUGCCAGCAGCCGCGGUAAUACGUAGGGUGCAAGCGUUGUCCGGAAUUAUUGGGCGUAAAGAGCUCGUAGGCGGCUUGUCGCGUCGGCUGUGAAAACCUGGGGCUCAACCCCGGGCCUGCAGCCGAUACGGGCAAGCUAGAAUUCGGUAGGGGAGACUGGAAUUCCUGGUGUAGCGGUGAAAUGCGCAGAUAUCAGGAGGAACACCGGUGGCGAAGGCGGGUCUCUGGGCCGAUAUUGACGCUGAGGAGCGAAAGCGUGGGGAGCGAACAGGAUUAGAUACCCUGGUAGUCCACGCCGUAAGCGUUGGGCGCUAGGUGUGG